ACAUGCUCUUAAAAUAACUUCCUGUUAACAUGAAUAGUGAUUUACUUACAUGCUUGAGUGCUUUUAGGAAUGCACUACCCCUUACCCCAAGACAAGGUAGGUCCCCUUUUCCUGUCUCACAGGAGCCAGUGAGGCUGACUUGGAUCUCAGCAGAAACAAAGAUAAACAGAAUGCAUGAAGCCCAGUGUCUCAGCUCCAGGGGAUGAGGACCCUUGAGUCCAAGCACCAGGUUUAAAAAGAAAGAACGAACGAACGAACGAACGAACGAAAGAAAGAAAGAAAGAAAGAAAGAAAGAAGGAAGGAAGGAAGGAAGCAGACUUUUGCUGUUCGAAGAAAUGCUUGGAGGAUUAUCUCCAUUGUACUCAGGUGCUUCAAGUAGACCCUUCCUUCCUCCCUCUCUCUCUCUCCCCCUCCCCUCCCUCUCCCUCUCCCUUCCUUCCCUCUCAAAUGUCUUGCUUGUUCUUAUCGGCUUGGCACGCUCGGAGGGUGACCAGGAGCUCACCAAAGCAAGAGCUUUGGGUCCCAGUUUUUCUUUUACAUCAUUUCACAUCUUUUUACAUCAUUACAUCUUUUGCAU
rnacentral:lncRNA from 1 species